CCAAUAGCGUAUAUUAAAGUUGUUGCAGUUAAAAAGCUCGUAGUUGAAUUUCGGGAUCAGUUGAUCGGUCGUGCCUCGGUACGUACUGGUCAAAUUGAUUCCUACCUUCUGACGAACCACGAUGUCAUUAAUUUGGUGUCGCGGGAAAUCAGGACUGUUACUUUGAAAAAAUUAGAGUGUUUAAAGCAGGCUCGCGCUUGAAUACAUUAGCAUGGAAUAAUGAAAUAGGACGUUUGAUUCUAUUUUGUUGGUUUCUAGGAUCGACGUAAUGAUUAAUAGGGAUAGUUGGGGGCAUUAGUAUUCAAUUGUCAGAGGUGAAAUUCUUGGAUUUAUUGAAGACUAACUACUGCGAAAGCAUUUGCCAAGGAUGUUUUCAUUAAUCAAGAACGAAAGUUAGGGGAUCGAAGACGAUCAGAUACCGUCGUAGUCUUAACCAUAAACUAUGCCGACUAGGGAUCGGAUGAUGUUAAUUUUUUAAUGACUCAUUCGGCGCCUUACG
rnacentral:ncRNA from 2 species